GAACGGACGAGAAGCUUGCUUCUCUGAUGUUAGCGGCGGACGGGUGAGUAACACGUGGAUAACCUACCUAUAAGACUGGGAUAACUUCGGGAAACCGGGGCUAAUACCGGAUAAUAUUUUGAACCGCAUGGUUCAAAAGUGAAAGACGGUCUUGCUGUCACUUAUAGAUGGAUCCGCGCUGCAUUAGCUAGUUGGUAAGGUAACGGCUUACCAAGGCAACGAUGCAUAGCCGACCUGAGAGGGUGAUCGGCCACACUGGAACUGAGACACGGUCCAGACUCCUACGGGAGGCAGCAGUAGGGAAUCUUCCGCAAUGGGCGAAAGCCUGACGGAGCAACGCCGCGUGAGUGAUGAAGGUCUUCGGAUCGUAAAACUCUGUUAUUAGGGAAGAACAUAUGUGUAAGUAACUGUGCACAUCUUGACGGUACCUAAUCAGAAAGCCACGGCUAACUACGUGCCAGCAGCCGCGGUAAUACGUAGGUGGCAAGCGUUAUCCGGAAUUAUUGGGCGUAAAGCGCGCGUAGGCGGUUUUUUAAGUCUGAUGUGAAAGCCCACGGCUCAACCGUGGAGGGUCAUUGGAAACUGGAAAACUUGAGUGCAGAAGAGGAAAGUGGAAUUCCAUGUGUAGCGGUGAAAUGCGCAGAGAUAUGGAGGAACACCAGUGGCGAAGGCGACUUUCUGGUCUGUAACUGACGCUGAUGUGCGAAAGCGUGGGGAUCAAA
rnacentral:rRNA from 1 species